rnacentral:rRNA from 2 species
GACCCGCACAAGCGGUGGAGCAUGUGGUUUAAUUCGAAGCAACGCGAAGAACCUUACCAAAUCUUGACAUCCUUUGACAACUCUAGAGAUAGAGCUUUCCCCUUCGGGGGACAAAGUGACAGGUGGUGCAUGGUUGUCGUCAGCUCGUGUCGUGAGAUGUUGGGUUAAGUCCCGCAACGAGCGCAACCCUUAAGAUUAGUUGCCAUCAUUAAGUUGGGCACUCUAAGUUGACUGCCGGUGACAAACCGGAGGAAGGUGGGGAUGACGUCAAAUCAUCAUGCCCCUUAUGAUUUGGGCUACACACGUGCUACAAUGGACAAUACAAAGGGCAGCGAAACCGUGAGGUCAAGCAAAUCCCAUAAAGUUGUUCUCAGUUCGGAUUGUAGUCUGCAACUCGACUACAUGAAGCUGGAAUCGCUAGUAAUCGUAGAUCAGCAUGCUACGGUGAAUACGUUCCCGGGUCUUGUACACACCGCCCGUCACACCACGAGAGUUUGUAACACCCGAAGCCGGUGGAGUAACCUUUUAGGAGCUAGCCGUCGAAGGUGGGACAAAUGAUUGGGGUGAAGUCGUAACAAGGUAGCCGUAUCGGAAGGUGCGGCUGGAUCACCUCCUUUCUAAGGA